AAUCUUCCGCAAUGGACGACAGUCUGACGGAGCAACGCCGCGUGUACGACGAAGGCCUUCGGGUUGUAAAGUACUGUCUUCAGGGACGAACGGUAUUUAUGAAAAUAUUGUAGAUACAUGACGGUACCUGAGGAGGAAGCCCCGGCUAACUACGUGCCAGCAGCCGCGGUAAUACGUAGGGGGCAAGCGUUGUCCGGAAUCAUUGGGCGUAAAGGGCGCGUAGGCGGAUAAUUAAGUCUGGUGUGAAAACCUAGGGCUCAACCCUGGGACUGCAUCGGAAACUGGUUAUCUUGAGGACAGGAGAGGAAAGUGGAAUUCCACGUGUAGCGGUGAAAUGCGUAGAUAUGUGGAGGAACACCAGUGGCGAAGGCGACUUUCUGGACUGUAACUGACGCUGAGGCGCGAAAGCGUGGGGAGCAAAC
rnacentral:rRNA from 1 species